UAGAGUUUGAUCCUGGCUCAGAUUGAACGCUGGCGGCAUGCUUUACACAUGCAAGUCGAACGGCAGCACGGGCUUCGGUCUGGUGGCGAGUGGCGAACGGGUGAGUAAUAUAUCGGAACGUACCCAGAAGUGGGGGAUAACGUAGCGAAAGUUACGCUAAUACCGCAUACGAUCUACGGAUGAAAGUGGGGGAUCGCAAGACCUCAUGCUUUUGGAGCGGCCGAUAUCUGAUUAGCUAGUUGGUGAGGUAAAGGCUCACCAAGGCGACGAUCAGUAGCUGGUCUGAGAGGACGACCAGCCACACUGGAACUGAGACACGGUCCAGACUCCUACGGGGGGCAGCA
rnacentral:rRNA from 1 species